UACGUAGGGUGCGAGCGUUAAUCGGAAUUACUGGGCGUAAAGCGUGCGUAGGCGGUUCGUUAAGUUCGUUGUGAAAGCCCCGGGCUCAACCUGGGAAUGGCAAUGGAAACUGGCGGGCUGGAGUAUGGCAGAGGGGGGUGGAAUUCCGCGUGUAGCAGUGAAAUGCGUAGAGAUGCGGAGGAACACCGAUGGCGAAGGCAGCCCCCUGGGCCAAUACUGACGCUCAGGCACGAAAGCGUUGGGAGCAAACAGG
rnacentral:rRNA from 1 species